AAUCUGCGAUAAGCGUCGGUAAGGUGAUAUGAACCGUUAUAACCGGCGAUUUCCGAAUGGGGAAACCCAGUGUGAUUCGUCACACUAUCAUUAACUGAAUCCAUAGGUUAAUGAGGCGAACCGGGGGGAACUGAAACAUCUAAGUACCCCGAGGAAAAGAAAUCAACCGAGAUUCCCCCAGUAGCGGCGAGCGAACGGGGAGCAGCCCAGAGCCUGAAUCAGUGUGUGUGUUAGUGGAAGCGUCUGGAAA
rnacentral:rRNA from 1 species